rnacentral:rRNA from 1 species
UACGUAGGGUGCAAGCGUUGUCCGGAAUUAUUGGGCGUAAAGAGCUCGUAGGCGGCCUGUCGCGUCGACCGUGAAAACCCGCAGCUCAACUGCGGGCUUGCGGUCGAUACGGGCAGGCUGGAGUUCGGUAGGGGAGACUGGAAUUCCUGGUGUAGCGGUGAAAUGCGCAGAUAUCAGGAGGAACACCGGUGGCGAAGGCGGGUCUCUGGGCCGAUACUGACGCUGAGGAGCGAAAGCGUGGGGAGCGAACAGG